UGCAGGGAGGGGUUGGAACAGCAGCCAUGCUUCACAAUCAUGCAGGAGUGGAAGUGAACCCACAGGAAGUUAUUGAGAUGUACUGACAUCUGCGGCCUCCAACAGAUGGUGCUGUCAGGCGGAGAGGAUCGGCUGCAUCUGUGAAAAAGACAACAGGGAGACUUUUUGUCCUGGCUGGGAUCAAUCGCUCCAUAGAUGACGCCCACCCAGCCAGGCCUCUCCGUGGGCGGCCAGUAGCCCAGCAGCCCAGCAGGCCGGCCCGGUCCAGCCCCGCCCGGGGCCCUCCUCCAGCCCCCGCAGCCUGCAACGGCCAGCACGGCAGGAGAGCUGCACUUUACAUCUGAAAGCUUUCAGCUGACACUUUAAAGUCACUGUAGGAGAGAGCCCAGUUUUCUUAUUGUGAUCCGUUUCCUGCUGAAGGAGGGAUCACUGACAGCCAAUGAGAUGUCAGAGAGAGGAAGACUGGAAGUUUGAUUGGAGGACUGGUGUUACAAAAAAACUGCUGAUUUCAGGAAAUAAAAGAGGAAGAGAAAGCACAUCUUUACUCACUGUUACUUGAGCUUAUCAAAGCUGCAGUUCCUCUUGUGGUGUCAGGUUUGAAGUUCAUUCUGGACCUUGGAAGCAAUAAUCAAAGUCAAAACCUCAAAGUUAGUAACUUUUCUGAAGCUUUCAGUCGUUGUUAGCAAGUUGUUUAUGUUUUCUGAUGGUGUUAGAGGUUCAUUUGCAUCAGUAAAUGUUAAAUCAUAUAUUGGGUAUAUUAUGUAAAUAAAAACUCAUCAGGUCCUCUCAAAGGCCAUGUGGUGAACAACAGGCUCGUAAAAAUGUCAGGAAUGAACAGUCAGGUAAACAUCAGCAAGGACAGUCCGGCUGUAGAUUGUUGUGUUCAGACUCAUCUUAUUUGUUAUUGUUGUUGUUGCUGUGGUAACAUCAGAGUAAGUAUGAAUAACAGUAAGAGCCAGCGCUCUUACUGAGAGUAGAUCUGGUUACAUAGUGACAGACGAGGUGCAGACAUGUUCGUAAGUAAAAGAUAAAGAUCCAGAGUGUCAGAUUAACUACUGUGUUUCUACGGUAGCCCACGACGGACAAACUAAAAUGUGUGAGUGUCUCUAGAUAACAUGAGUCAAGGUUUUUAUUGAUCCCACGCAGGGGGAAUUCACUUUUUACAGCAGCUCACGAUAUACAAGGCGUAUAAGAAAAAUACUCGGAAAUAGAAAACGUAUAGAAAGAAUCUAAGAUCUAAUCUAAGUUUGUUGUUCUGUUGAUUAGUUUAAUUUAUCGCAAAACAUACAUUUUUCAUAUGUUUCUCUUAGUGAAGUAAAAAGCACAGUAUUUGUCUCUCAAUUGUUGUGGACUAGAAGUAAAUAA